UACGAAGGGUGCAAGCGUUAAUCGGAAUUACUGGGCGUAAAGCGUGCGUAGGCGGUUCUUUAAGUCUGUUGUGAAAUCCUCGGGCUCAACCUGGGAAUGGCAAUGGAUACUGGAUAGCUAGAGUGUGAUAGAGGAUGGUGGAAUUCCCGGUGUAGCGGUGAAAUGCGUAGAGAUCGGGAGGAACAUCAGUGGCGAAGGCGGCCAUCUGGAUCAACACUGACGCUGAGGCACGAAAGCGUGGGGAGCAAACAGG
rnacentral:rRNA from 1 species